rfam:Ovis aries breed Texel chromosome 5, whole genome shotgun sequence.
UCCCUGGUGGCUCAGAGGUUAAAGCGUCUGCCUGCAAUGCGGGAGACCUGGGUUCGAUCCCUGAGUUGGGAA